UUGGGAAAAAUAAUAGUGUUCCCGUGAAUGCAUUGUGGACAAAUCCUCCUUCCUCAACGUGGUGAAAAAUUCUCUACACUUUCCCUUGAAUUUUCUUUCUUGCCAUAGAAGAGUUUUGGGUUUUAUGGAUUGGAAUUGGUUGGAAGAUUCGAAUCAGAGAAGAUUGGUUGUGGUUGUGCUGGAGAUGAGGAAAAAAAAGGAUUGUUUCAGAUCUUUCCUCCAUCACAUAGGAUUAAGUGGAUUUUGGGUCCGGCUUAUGGAAUCGGUUUCUUUCAUGAUGUUGGUGCUUCUUGAUCAUAUCCCAAACAUUUGCUGACUUUGCAUUGGAUGGUGUUCUAUUAUGGUGGUCCUAUUUGGAUCCAGUUAACUUUCACUGAGGGUUUCUACCAACAAGUGAAGCGCGUUGGAUUUUGGUCUUAGCGGAAUCCCUGACGGAUAUAAUUGUUUGGUUACUUGAUUUAGGUCCAUACUAUGCAAUGCAAAUCAUAAUAUUUGUCUGAUGGUAUGAUGCGAUGUAAUUUUUUUAAUUAUGGCUUAAGGUUUUAGCCGACCUUGUCAAUAAGGUUGAUGUUUUGUAUUUAUAGGUGAAUUGUUCAUGUAAUUCAGAUAUACAUGUGAUAUCGAUGGUUGGUUA